UACGGGGGGGGUAAGCGUUGUUCGGAAUUACUGGGCGUAAAGGGCGCGUAGGCGGCCCGCUAAGUCGAACGUGAAAUCCCCAGGCUCAACCUGGGAACUGCGUCCGAUACUGGCAGGCUUGAAUCCGGGAGAGGGAUGUGGAAUUCCAGGUGUAGCGGUGAAAUGCGUAGAUAUCUGGAGGAACACCGGUGGCGAAGGCGGCAUCCUGGACCGGUAUUGACGCUGAGGCGGCGAAAAGCUAAGGGGAGCAAACGGGG
rnacentral:rRNA from 1 species